rnacentral:rRNA from 1 species
UACGUAGGAGGCGAGCGUUGUCCGGAUUUACUGGGCGUAAAGCGCGCGCAGGCGGCACACCAAGUACAACGUGAAAUCUCCCUGCUCAACGGGGAGGGUGCGUAGUAAACUGGUGAGCUAGAGGACGGUAGAGGGGGGUAGAAUUGCUGGUGUAGCGGUGAAAUGCGUAGAGAUCAGCAGGAAUACCCGUGGCGAAGGCGGCCCCCUGGGCCGAACCUGACGCUGAGGCGCGAAGGCUAGGGGAGCGAACGGG